rnacentral:rRNA from 1 species
AUGGGGAGGAUGGACGCGCGGGGUCCGAGAAGGGUUUUCGAUGGACCGGGUGUGUCGGAGGCCUAUGUGGUUGUUGUCCGGAGUCCCGCAAAGCCCCUCGUUUGUCUAGGUCCCGGUCGUCACGUCGCCGUGCAGCGCCGACCACGGCCAGACCACGCGCGUGACGCUGUCUGCCCGCUGUUCCCAGUCUCCUUCUCUGUCGCUGCCUCCUGCGGCGCUGUCGGCGUCGCAGGGCUCGCACGCUCCGCCCGCUCGUUCCUGGCGCAGGUCGCGAGCGCGCAGAGGGUCGCCAGCUCGUUCGCGUUGUGCCUCCCAGGCGAUGGCGACCGCGCGGGCGCGGCAAUCUUCAGUGGCGGCCCUUUCUUCCUCGCUCCCCGGGCUGACCGGCCGGCAGUCACGACGCUCCUGUCCGAGGGGGUCCCGCUGCGCCGCCCGUUCGCCGGAGACCCCGGCUACUACGUCUCGGCCAGCAAUGGCAUCGCCAUGGACGGAGCGUGUGUGGCAUUCGCGAGCGCCGGUGCGCCCAUCGUCGGCUUCUCCACGGUCCACUACACGGAGCUUCGCCACGACGUGUACCGCCCCUUGAUCGCGGCCUUCGACCGCGCCAUGGGCAGGAGCGCGAGGAGGGUCACGCCGGCGGUGGCACCGUUCGAGCUCUGCUACGACUCCACGAAGCUGCUAUCGGCUAUCGUCGCAGACGGGGCACUCAGUGCCAGAGCUCCAUGGCGCACGCUAGCUUCGACCGAGGCCGAGGACGUCGUCUGGGCCGACGCCGAGGACGACCUUGGCCCUCCCCCGCCAGCGCCCUGGUCGGAGACCUGCUCGAGGAGUAGGCCGGGGACGGCAGCAGCAUCCAGAGCCACGCGCUCGGCUCGCUCGAGAAGGGCGCGUCGGUCAGGAUCUCGGGCAAACUGCAGCAUGGUGACCAUGGUGACAGGUGCAAAACCCACCGACGGCGGAACCUUGUGGCAGCAGUGGUUGGCGUCACCGGCUCGCCGCAAUGUGGCUGUUGCAAUGAGGGGAUGCAACAGUGGGGACGACUUUGCCCCUCCCGGCUAG